GACGAACGCUGGCGGCGUGCUUAACACAUGCAAGUCGAACGGAAAGGCCCUGCUUUUGUGGGGUGCUCGAGUGGCGAACGGGUGAGUAACACGUGAGUAACCUGCCCUUGACUUUGGGAUAACUUCAGGAAACUGGGGCUAAUACCGGAUAGGAGCUCCUGCUGCAUGGUGGGGGUUGGAAAGUUUCGGCGGUUGGGGAUGGACUCGCGGCUUAUCAGCUUGUUGGUGGGGUAGUGGCUUACCAAGGCUUUGACGGGUAGCCGGCCUGAGAGGGUGACCGGCAACAUUGGGACGGGGUUCCGGCCCGGACCCCUAGGGGGGGAAGAGGUGGGGAAUAUGGACCAUGGGGCGAAGGCUUGAUGCAGCACCCCCGGGGGGGGAAGGAGGGCCUUCGGGUUGUAAACCGCUUUCGCUGGUAACGAAGCGGAGGGGACGGAAAUGGGAAAGGAAGCACCGGCAAACUACGU
rnacentral:rRNA from 1 species